UACAGAGACUGCAAGCGUUAUUCGGAUUCACUGGGCGUAAAGGGUGCGCAGGCGGCCGUGUGUGUGAGGCGUGAAAGCCCGGGGCUUAACCCCGGAAUUGCACCUCAAACUACAUGGCUAGAGCAUUGGAGAGGGUAGCAGAAUUCCCGGUGUAGCAGUGAAAUGCGUAGAGAUCGGGAGGAACACCAGUGGCGAAGGCGGCCUUCUGGACCAAUACUGACGCUCAUGCACGAAAGCGUGGGGAGCAAACAGG
rnacentral:rRNA from 1 species